rnacentral:rRNA from 1 species
CUACACGAAGUCGGAAUUGCUAGUAAUCGUAGGUCAGCAUACUACGGUGAAUACGUUCCCGGGCCUUGUACACACGCCCGUCAAACCAUGGGAGUUGGCAACACCCGAAGUCGGUAGUCUAACCGCAAGGAGGACGCCGCCGAAGGUGGGGUUGAUGAUUAGGGUUAAGUCGUAACAAGGUACC